rnacentral:rRNA from 1 species
AGCAGUGGGGAAUUUUGGACAAUGGGCGCAAGCCUGAUCCAGCAAUGCCGCGUGAGUGAAGAAGGCCUUCGGGUUGUAAGGCUCUUUUGUCAGGGAAGAAACGGUGAGAGCUAAUAUCUCUUGCUAAUGACGGUACCUGAAGAAUAAGCACCGGCUAACUACGUGCCAGCAGCCGCGGUAAUACGUAGGGUGCAAGCGUUAAUCGGAAUUACUGGGCGUAAAGCGUGCGCAGGCGGUUUUGUAAGUUUGUCGUGAAAGCCCCGGGCUCAACCUGGGAAUUGCGAUGAAGACUGCAAGGCUUGAAUCUGGCAGAGGGGGGUAGAAUUCCACGUGUAGCAGUGAAAUGCGUAGAGAUGUGGAGGAACACCGAUGGCGAAAGCAGCCCCCUGGGUCAAGAUUGACGCUCAUG